GAUACGACCGUACCGCAAACCGACACUGGUGCGCGAGAUGAGUAUUCUAAGGCGCUUGAGAGAACUCAGGAGAAGGAACUCGGCAAAUUGACACCGUAACUUCGGAAGAAGGUGUGCCCUAUUAGUGUGUAGUGAACAACGAAGCAUGAAUGGGUUGCAAAAAAUCGGUGGCUGCGACUGUUUAUUAAAAACACAGCACUCUGCAAACACGAAAGUGGACGUAUAGGGUGUGACGCCUGCCCGGUGCUGGAAGAUUAAAUGAUGGGGUGCAAGCUCUUGAUUGAAGUCCCAGUAAACGGCGGCCGUAACGAUAACGGUCCUAAGGUAGCGAAAUUCCUUGUCGGGUAAGUUCCGACCUGCACGAAUGGCGUAACGAUGGCCACACUGUCUCCUCCUGAGACUCAGCGAAGUUGAAAUGUUUGUGAUGAUGCAAUCUCCCCGCGGAAAGACGGAAAGACCCCAUGAACCUUUACUGUAGCUUUGUAUUGGACUUUGAACAGAUCUGUGUAGGAUAGGUGGGAGGCUUUGAAGCAGGGUCGCUAGAUCUUGUGGAGCCAACGUUGAAAUACCACCCUGGUGUGUUUGAGGUUCUAACCUAGGUCCAUUAUCUGGAUCGGGGACAGUGCAUGGUAGGCAGUUUGACUGGGGCGGUCUCCUCCCAAAGCGUAACGGAGGAGUUCGAAGGUGCGCUAGUUACGGUCGGACAUCGUGACGAUAGUGCAAUGGCAUAAGCGUGCUUAACUGCGAGACUGACAAGUCGAGCAGAUGCGAAAGCAGGACAUAGUGAUCCGGUGGUUCUGUAUGGAAGGGCCAUCGCUCAACGGAUAAAAGGUACUCUGGGGAUAACAGGCUGAUACCGCCCAAGAGUUCAUAUCGACGGCGGUGUUUGGCACCUCGAUGUCGGCUCAUCUCAUCCUGGGGCUGUAGCCGGUCCCAAGGGUAUGGCUGUUCGCCAUUUAAAGAGGUACGUGAGCUGGGUUUAAAACGUCGUGAGACAGUUUGGUCCCUAUCUUCCGUGGGCGCUGCAGAUUUGAGGAAGCCUGCUCCUAGUACGAGAGGACCGGAGUGGACACACCUCUGGUGUAUCGGUUGUCACGCCAGUGGCAUUGCCGAGUAGCUAAGUGUGGAAGAGAUAACCGCUGAAAGCAUCUAAGCGGGAAACUCGUUUCAAGAUGAGAUCUGCCGGGGCCUUGAGCCCCCUAAAGAGUCGUUCAAGACCAGGACGUUGAUAGGUCAGGUGUGGAAGCG
rnacentral:rRNA from 1 species